rnacentral:rRNA from 1 species
GACGAACGCUGGCGGCGUGCUUAACACAUGCAAGUCGAACGGAAAGGCCCUGCUUUUGUGGGGUGCUCGAGUGGCGAACGGGUGAGUAACACGUGAGUAACCUGCCCUUGACUUUGGGAUAACUUCAGGAAACUGGGGCUAAUACCGGAUAGGAGCUCCUGCUGCAUGGUGGGGGUUGGAAGUUUUCGCCGGUUGGGGUUGAAUCAGCGGCUUAUCGGCUUGUUGGUGGGGUAGUGGCUUACCAAGGCUUUGACGGGUAGCCGGCCUGAGAGGGUGACCGGCCACAUUGGGACUGAGAUACGGCCCAGACUCCUACGGGAGGCAGCAGUGGGGAAUAUUGCACAAUGGGCGGAAGCCUGAUGCAGCAACGCCGCGUGCGGGAUGACGGCCUUCGGGUUGUAAACCGCUUUCGCCUGUGACGAAGCGUGAGUGACGGUAAUGGGUAAAGAAGCACCGGCUAACUACGUG